GACGAACGCUGGCGGCGUGCUUAACACAUGCAAGUCGAACGAUGAUCAGGAGCUUGCUCCUGUGAUUAGUGGCGAACGGGUGAGUAACACGUGAGUAACCUGCCCCUGACUCUGGGAUAAGCGUUGGAAACGACGUCUAAUACUGGAUACGACUGCCGGCCGCAUGGUCUGGUGGUGGAAAGAUUUUUUGGUUGGGGAUGGACUCGCGGCCUAUCAGCUUGUUGGUGAGGUAAUGGCUCACCAAGGCGACGACGGGUAGCCGGCCUGAGAGGGUGACCGGCCACACUGGGACUGAGACACGGCCCAGACUCCUACGGGAGGCAGCAGUGGGGAAUAUUGCACAAUGGGCGAAAGCCUGAUGCAGCAACGCCGCGUGAGGGAUGGCGGCCUUCGGGUUGUAAACCUCUUUUAGUAGGGAAGAAGCGAAAGUGACGGUACCUGCAGAAAAAGCACCGGCUAACUACGUGCCAGCCGCCGCCGUAAAAC
rnacentral:rRNA from 1 species